rnacentral:misc_RNA from 1 species
GAGGAAAACUUCAGAAUGGACAAUUGGUCGGAUCCGUAAUAUACUACCGGGAUCUGUCCUCCAUAACCAAUGAUACGUGAACUGUCUGAAUUGCAUUUGGGUCUAAUACCCAAUUAGACCCAACCUGGAUGAAAAUAUUUUACAAAAGAGGAGAGACUCUCUUUAAUCCCGAAUAAAUCGGGACCGGCGCUUCAGCUCGGAGUCUUAACUUAGCACUCCAAGAGCCAGAAGGACACCGCCACCAAACCUUUCUCUGUGACGCGGAAUCGUUCGACAGACUUUAAGACUGAUCUUAUUUUCUUGUCAAAUUCCCCACACUGUUGCAGACAUAAAAAAAAUCAUGAAUUUGAUUUUCAUGAUACCACAAGCUGUUUUCAAUGACUUUGUGAUCUCGCAUCAUUGGUGCCAUUGCAAAUAUACAUGUAUUUUUGAUAUUAUUGUUUAUGUGUGCACCUGUUUUUGUGCAUUUCUAUAUUACAAAUAAUAAAAAAUAUGAAAACUU